UUCCUGUUUAUCCUGCAGUGUUAAACAGGUGUGGCAAGUUGUUGUACUGGCACCAGAGGGAAUAUGGUGAUAAAGUCUAGUACCGUGAAGAAAUGAUGCAAGAGCAGUUAAGACGAUGUUAGGGUGGGUUCAGAAAGAUGGGACAAAAUCCAACCUACAACCAGGUUUGAAACAAUGUUCUAACUAACAGUGUGAUAUAGUUGUCAAGGCAUGGAGCCCUUUACUAUCAGUAGUACGGUGUCAAGCUUUAAUGACCUGCUGUCCUUUAAUCAGAAGCAGAAGGCAUGAACAAGAUGUGGCAGCCAUUUUGUAUGAUGCCAACACCACAGCAGCCAUUUUGUGACUGGCGCCUUGAAUUAGGGUCCACAUCUGAAAAUAUGUAACCAUGCUGAAGUGUAGUUCAACAAAUUCCAUGAACGGUUCCAAUCCUGCCCAAUCAAGCUUUUGCAGGUGAGAGGAAGGAAACCUGCAGUACUGUAUUUAAAGUCACUCACCAUCAUCUGACUCUGGGAAAAAUGAGGUAACUUCAGGCUCAGAUUCCUGAAUUCCUUUCUUUUUAUACAUUCUGAGCUGCAGUCGCUGCAAAAUUCUUUGCUCCCGGAUCCGCUGAAUAUCCCACCUAUGGGAGAUGGGAAAAGGAGGGGGAAAAUAUAAUGCAUUUUAAACUUUACUUGAAGACAUCUUCAUUAUGGACAGCAGUCACUGCCUUCCACUAUUCCAAUCAUUUUUGGGCUCCUGCUGGGAGGAAGGGUGGGAUAUAAAUCAAAUAAUAAAAAACAUUUUAAAAAGUUGGCACAAUACCCUACAGCCUGGAGUGCCACAGGUUAAUUACAACUAGUGUGGGAAAGUAUUUUGUGUAUUAAACUCACUACAUACCAAUUUCAAUAGGUUACCUCAAGUCCUAUUGUGACAAAAGAAUCACCAAAUCUCUUCUCGCUCACCCCUUCCAUGACAUAACUGUAAUCCCAUAUUUUCCUCAUCUGGCCACCCACACAGCUCCCUCCACACAGCCCCCCAAUGCAACAUAAAGACCAUAGCCAAAUCAGAUGAUUCAAAUAUUUUAAAGGACUGGUUUUACUGAACAUUUUAAUUGUGGAUGUUUAUUUUAACAUUUCAAUGGAAUCGUUUUAUUGUAUUUUUGUAAACUGCUUAGAAGCCACAGUGGCAAUUAAGUGGUAUAUAAAUUAAUAAAGAAUAUUUUCCCUCACCUUUUCCUCCUCUUCUCAUCCAAUUCCAAUUUUGCAUGUCGUUUGGAG